rnacentral:rRNA from 1 species
AGCGAACGCUGGCGGCAGGCCUAACACAUGCAAGUCGAACGAGAAGCCACCUUCGGGUGGUGGACAGUGGCAGACGGGUGAGUAACGCGUGGGAACGUGCCUUUCGGUUCGGGAUAACCCAGGGAAACCUGGGCUAAUACCGGAUACGCCCUUCGGGGGAAAGAUUCAUUGCCGAAAGAUCGGCCCGCGUCGGAUUAGCUUGUUGGUGGGGUAAUGGCCUACCAAGGCGACGAUCCGUAGCUGGUCUGAGAGGAUGACCAGCCACACUGGGACUGAGACACGGCCCAGACUCCUACGGGAGGCAGCAGUGGGGAAUAUUGGACAAUGGGCGAAAGCCUGAUCCAGCCAUGCCGCGUGGGUGAAGAAGGCCUUAGGGUUGUAAACCCCUUUCAGCGGGGACGAUAAUGACGGUACCCGCAGAAGAAGUCCCGGCUAACUCCGUGCCAGCCGCCGCUGUAAAAC